UACGGGGGGAGCAAGCGUUGUUCGGAUUUACUGGGCGUAAAGGGCGCGUAGGCGGCGUGACAAGUCACUUGUGAAAUCUCCGGGCUUAACCCGGAACGGUCAAGUGAUACUGUCGUGCUAGAGUACAGAAGGGGCAACUGGAAUUCUCGGUGUAGCGGUGAAAUGCGUAGAUAUCGAGAGGAACACCUGCGGCGAAGGCGGGUUGCUGGGCUGAUACUGACGCUGAGGCGCGAAAGCCAGGGGAGCGAACGGG
rnacentral:rRNA from 1 species